ACUCCUACGGGAGGCAGCAGUAGGGAAUCUUCCACAAUGGGUGCAAACCUGAUGGAGCAAUGCCGCGUGAGUGAAGAAGGUCUUCGGAUCGUAAAGCUCUGUUGUUAGAGAAGAACACGUGCUAGGUAACUACUAGCACCUUGACGGUAUCUAACCAGAAAGUCACGGCUAACUACGUGCCAGCAGCCGCGGUAAUACGUAGGUGACAAGCGUUGUCCGGAUUUAUUGGGCGUAAAGGGAGCGCAGGCGGUCUGUUUAGUCUAAUGUGAAAGCCCACGGCUUAACCGUGGAACGGCAUUGGAAACUGACAGACUUGAAUGUAGAAGAGGAAAAUGGAAUUCCAAGUGUAGCGGUGGAAUGCGUAGAUAUUUGGAGGAACACCAGUGGCGAAGGCGAUUUUCUGGUCUAACAUUGACGCUGAGGCUCGAAAGCGUGGGGAGCGAACAGGAUUAGAUACCCUACUGCUGCCUCCCGUAGGAGUACAUC
rnacentral:rRNA from 1 species